rfam:Scleropages formosus scaffold6772, whole genome shotgun sequence.
UUAUAGGCCUUAUUCAAGUCCACCCAAUUUUAAAAAAAAUAGCUC